rnacentral:tRNA from 1 species
GCCCAGAUGGCGGAAUUGGUAGACGCACUAGGUUUCAGGUCCUAGCGGUGGCAACACUGUGGAGGUUCGAGUCCUCUUCUGGGCACCA